rnacentral:rRNA from 1 species
UACGUAGGGGGCUAGCGUUGUCCGGAUUUACUGGGCGUAAAGAGCGCGCAGGCGGCUGAUUAAGUCGAAUGUGAAAGUCCCCGGCUCAACUGGGGAGGGUCAUUCGAUACUGAUCAACUUGAAGGCAGGAGAGAGAAGUGGAAUUCCCGGUGUAGUGGUGAAAUGCGCAGAUAUCAGGAAGAACACCCGUGGCGAAGGCGGUUCUCUGGGACGGUACUGACGCUGAGACGCGAAAGCGUGGGAAGCGAACAGG